UUCUUUAAUCAAAAGAGAAAGAAACUGAAGCACACGAUUGAGAGAAAAACUCCUAUCGGUUGUCAUCUUCAUGAAAUCCGCCGCCGUCUCGUUCGUGUCCAUCCUUGUGUGCU